UGAGGAAUAUUGCGCAAUGGGGGCAACCCUGACGCAGCAACGCCGCGUGAGUGAGGAAGGUUUUCGGACCGUAAAGCUCUGUCGAGCGGGAAGAAAUGUAUCAUGGCUAAUAUCCAUGGUACUUGACGGUACCGCUAAAGGAAGCACCGGCUAACUCCGUGCCAGCAGCCGCGGUAAUACGGGGGGUGCAAGCGUUGUUCGGAAUUAUUGGGCGUAAAGAGCGUGUAGGCGGCUGGAUAAGUCAGAUGUGAAAUCCCUGGGCUUAACUCAGGAAGUGCAUUUGAAACUAUCCAGCUUGAGGAAGGGAGAGGAAAGUGGAAUUCCUGGUGUAGAGGUGAAAUUCGUAGAUAUCAGGAGGAACACCGGUGGCGAAGGUGACUUUCUGGCCCUAUACUGACGCUGAGACGCGAGAGCGUGGGUAGCAAACA
rnacentral:rRNA from 1 species